rnacentral:rRNA from 1 species
UACCUUGACAUGUCCGGAAUCCCGAAGAGAUUUGGAGUGCUCGCAAGAGAGCCGGAACACAGGUGCUGCAUGGCUGUCGUCAGCUCGUGUCGUGAGAUGUUGGGUUAAGUCCCGCAACGAGCGCAACCCUUGUCAUUAGUUGCCAUCAUUUGGUUGGGCACUCUAAUGAGACUGCCGGUGACAAACCGGAGGAAGGUGGGGAUGACGUCAAGUCCUCAUGGCCCUUAUGGGUAGGGCUUCACACGUCAUACAAUGGUCGGUACAGAGGGUUGCCAACCCGCGAGGGGGAGCUAAUCCCACAAAGCCGAUCGUAGUCCGGAUCGCAGUCUGCAACUCGACUGCGUGAAGUCGGAAUCGCUAGUAAUCGCGGAUCAGCAUGUCGCGGUGAAUACGUUCCCGGGUCUU